rnacentral:lncRNA from 1 species
UAACAAUAAUUGGGAUGGGCCUAGCUCUGAUACCAUGAAAACAUCAAGAAAUCCAGACGAAAUCAAAGAACAAGAUGAGAGAGAGUCGGUUAGGUAGAAGCUUCCAAACAUAGAAGAAUCAAGAUGAAGAUUGGAGAAGAUGAGUCGGUUGAGAGAAGCUUUUGGAGAGCUUCAGAAAGGAAAACUCUUCAAUUACAAAAAUAUCUGACUGACCCUAUACAGAAGGGUCAGGAGUGUAUAUAACCAAACUGGGCCAACUCGGACCAAAUGUAAAGCAAAAGAAAAAUGGGCCCAGAUAUGUUCUGGCCCAACAUACAUGAUAUACACGAUAUACAAACGGUAUACAAUAAAUAUACACUACAAAAUCAAUGUAUGUGUCUAGGUUUUGAAGUUAGAUAAUCUUGUAGCUCAACACCCCCCCCCUCCCCUAAAGUUGGAGGGGGAGACCACCUUCAACUUGACCAGCAGAGGAUGUAGAAUAGUGUCAGGCAGAGGCUUGGUGAGAAGGUCAGCCAGCUGACGAGAAGUAGGGACAUGGGAGAGAGUAAUGACCCCACCAGUCAACAGAUCCCGAAUAAAAUGACAAUCAACCUCAAUAUGCUUGGUAAGCUCAUGGAAAACAGGAUUCUUGGCAAUAUGUAUAGCAGCCUGGUUGUCACAAAAAACAGAAAAGGGAAGAGAAACAGAAACACCAAUGUCAGUGAGCAAACGGGAGAGCCAAGACAAUUCAGCUACCACCUUACUGAGAGCUCGAUAUUCAGCUUCAGCAGAGGAUAAAGAAAGUACAGGCUGUUUUUUGGACUUCCAACUAAUCAAGCUGCCACCCAAAAGAACACAAAAACCAGUAACAGACCUACGAGUAUCAGGACAGGCAGCCCAAUCACUGUCAGAAUAAGCAUGUAUAGAGAAAUCAGAACUGGCAGAAUAGAAGAGACCCAAAUGUAUAGUGCCCUUAAGAUAUCUGAGGAUAUGUAGGGCAGCAGUCAUAUGAGGGACUCUGGGACGCUUCAAAUAUUGACUCAGAUGCUGAACAUCAAAGCAAAUAUCAGGUCUAGUGUGAGUCAAAAAUAAGAGCUUGCCAAUAAGACUCCUAUAUUGAUCAGGGGAGGAGAAGAGGUCACCAGAAUCAGCAUGGAGUUUGACAUUAAGAUCCAAAGGACAAACAGCAAGAGAAUCAUUCAUACAGUCAAAUUGAUGCAGUAGGUCAGAAACAUACUUAUGCUGAUUAAGGAGCAUCCCACCAGGAACAACAGAUAUCUCUAUGCCCAAAAAAUAAUGCAAAGACCACAGGUAUUUAAUCCUGAACUGAUCAUACAGAAACAGUUUCAGGGCAGAAAGCUCAACAUUGUCAUCCCCAGUAAUAAUAAUGUCAUCCACAUAGACUGCCAGAACAACCAGACAACCAGGUUGGCCUUUGAUAGACAGAGAAUAAUCAUUCAAUGAAUGAGUAUAUCCUCUGGAGUAAAGAGCAGAAGACGGUUUAGCAUACCAUUGUCUGGAUGCAUGUCUCAACCCAUAAAGGGACUUUUUCAACUUACAUACAAGAGGGGGAGAUGCAGAGGAAACGGAAUCAGUAGAAGGGACAGAAACUGUUAAACUUGGAGGGAACUUCAUAUAGACCUCCUCAUCCAAAUCACCAUGCAAGAAAGCAUUGUGAACAUCAAAUUGAAAAAGAUUCCAAUGGUUCUUAACAGCCACUGCAAUAAGACACUUCACAGUGAACAUUUUAACCACAGGAGAAAAAGUGUCAGUGAAAUCAACUCCUUCAAUUUGAGUACCCCCUCUAAUAACAAGUCUAGCUUUGUAUCUUUCAACACUACGAUCAGCCUUAUAUUUGAUCUUAUAAACCCACUUGCAGCCUAUGGGUUUCUUACCAGGAGGAAGUGGAACAACAUCCCAGGUAUGGUUGGCAUCCNNNNNNNNNNNNNNNNNNNNNNNNNNNNNNNNNNNNNNNNNNNNNNNNNNNNNNNNNNNNNNNNNNNNNNNNNCCCAGGUAUGGUUGGCAUCCAAAGCAUCAAACUCCUUUCUCAUGGCAUCCUGCCAUACUGGAACUGAUGCAGCUUGAGAGUAAUAAAGAGGUUCAGACUUCAGAUGAGAAGAAGAAGAUCCAGAGAAGGCAGGAAGGUGACAGACAUAAUCCUUAAGAUAAGAAGGAGGAUUAUGCUGUCUUCCCGAUUUACUGGGAACAUUAGGUGAUGUGGAAGAAGGCAAAAAAGAGGAGAAAUAUCAGGGUUGAAAAGAGGACUGGAAACUGGAUUGGAAGAAGGAGAAACUGGGGCAGAAUGAGAAGGAGGAGAGGAAUAGAUGGGGAUAGACAAGUCUAUCUCAGAAAGGGAAUGCUCAAGAGGAGGAACAAAAGGAAAAGAAGAGGGAGAAACAGAAGGAGUAGGGUUAACAGAAGA